CAGCCGCCGCGGGAAUACGGAGGGUGCAAGCGUUAAUCGGAAUUACUGGGCGUAAAGCGCACGCAGGCGGUCUGACAAGUCAGAUGUGAAAUCCCCGGGCUUAACCUGGGAACUGCAUUUGAAACUGUCAGGCUGGAGUCUUGUAGAGGGGGGUAGAAUUCCAGGUGUAGCGGUGAAAUGCGUAGAGAUCUGGAGGAAUACCGGUGGCGAAGGCGGCCAUCUGGGACAACACUGACGCUGAGGCACGAAAGCGUGGGGAGCAAACAGGAUUAGAUACCCGAGUAGUCCCUGUCUCUUAUAC
rnacentral:rRNA from 1 species